GAGUAGUUCAGAGUUUGAUCCUGGCUCAGGAUGAACGCUGGCGGCGUGCUUAACACAUGCAAGUCGAACGGGUAAGGCGCCUUCGGGCGCGCAUACAGUGGCGAACGGGUGAGUAACACGUGACCAACCUGCCCCCUCCACCGGGACAACCUCGGGAAACCGUGGCUAAUACCGGAUACUCCGGGGACCGCGCAUGCGGGCCCCGGGAAAGCCCAGGCGGGAGGGGAUGGGGUCGCGGCCCAUUAGGUAGACGGCGGGGUGACGGCCCACCGUGCCGACGAUGGGUAGCCGGGCCGAGAGGCCGAUCGGCCACAUUGGGACUGAGACACGGCCCAG
rnacentral:rRNA from 1 species